UGAGGAAUAUUGGACAAUGGGCGCAAGCCUGAUCCAGCAAUGCCGCGUGUGUGAAGAAGGCCUGCGGGUUGUAAAGCACUUUAAGCAGGAAAGAAGGGCGGGGUGUUAACACCGCCUCGCAUUGACGUUACCUGCAGAAUAAGCACCGGCUAACUCCGUGCCAGCAGCCGCGGUAAUACGGAGGGUGCGAGCGUUAAUCGGAAUUACUGGGCGUAAAGGGCGCGUAGGUGGUGCGUUGAGUCAGCUGUGAAAGCCCUUGGCUUAACCAAGGAAGAGCAUUUGAAACUGGCUAACUAGAGUACAGGAGAGGAAAGUGGAAUUCCCAGUGUAGAGGUGAGAUUCAUAGAUAUUGGGAGGAACACCGGUAGCGAAGGCGGCUUUCUGGUCUGAUACUGACGCUGAGACGCGAAAGCGUGGGGAGCAAACAGGAUUAGAUACCCUGGUAGUCCACGCCGUAAACUAUGGGAACUAGGUGUAGGGAGUGUUGACCCUUUCUGUGCCGAAGCUAACGCAUUAAGUUCCCCGCCUGGGGAGUACGGUCGCAAGGCUA
rnacentral:rRNA from 1 species